UCUUCUUCAAUUCAUUUUUCAUUCUCUCUCUCUUAGCUCUCUGAAAUUCCUUAUCUCUGAAUGCAUGCAUGCCUCUCUCCUUCAAUUCCUUAUCUCUGAUCUCAUCUCUCAUCUUUGUUCUUCUCUCUCCAACCAAGCACAACAGCCAACACAACAACCAAGCCGCUGCCGUCAACCACAACAAACAUUGUCGAUGCCUAAAAUCAGAAAUUUGAGGACGUGAAUUUGCUGAGUAUGAAGUUCGAAGUUUCUGGGUUUUGGAUUGUAAUUUAUUUUUCAGCAAUUUUUCUGUUUUUUUUAAUAAAUUGUAAAAAAAACAAUUUAUUUGAUGAAUAUAGCCUUAGCUUGUUCGAUUUCAAGUUUUGGAUUGAAUGUAUAAAUUGGAUUGAUGAAUAAA